rnacentral:rRNA from 1 species
UACGGAGGGAGCUAGCGUUGUUCGGAAUUACUGGGCGUAAAGCGCACGUAGGCGGCUUUGUAAGUUAGAGGUGAAAGCCCGGGGCUCAACCCCGGAAUUGCCUUUAAGACUGCAUCGCUUGAAUCCGGGAGAGGUGAGUGGAAUUCCGAGUGUAGAGGUGAAAUUCGUAGAUAUUCGGAAGAACACCCAUGGCGAAGGCAG